GGGGGCGGACGGCCUGGACUCGGAGCAGUGACAGUCUGGGGAAAUCCUUUCAACAUCCAAAGCUGACGCGUUCACGUCUCGAGUCAAGGGAGGAUUCGUGGACAUCCAGGGGCGGUGACCAGGGUCUUGCUCGCCGACGGAAAGGAAACCCUCCCGGCCCACAGGCAUGCCAGGGAGUCGCACCUCCCAAACCCGGGCCCCGCUGAGCCUGAGUGCCGUCCGGCCGAAGUUAGAAGGUGGGCUGGGCACCUGCUCCGGGGGCAUCGCUGCCACAGGGAGGUGCGUCCUGGUGGUCCCCGGGGCCAGGACGCUCUGCCCGGGGAGGCUUGUCUGCUGGCCCCCCGAGGACCUGCACGGAGACGCUCGUCGGUCCAGAGCCCCCGGGAAGGGCUGAGUGUGGACGAAGUCACAGGAGCCAGACGGAGUUAAUGAGAAGACUGAGCCAUAAGCUGCAGAAGCAGCCUAGUGCCGUUCUUAAAAUGCUUAAGAGGAGUUCCCAUCCUGCUCAGGGGGAAUGAAUCUGACUAGUAUCCAUGAUGAUGCAGGUUCGACCCCUGGCCUCGUUCAGUGGGUUAUGGACCCGGCGUUGCCGUGAGCUGUGGUGUAGGCUGUAGACACAGCUCGGAUUGGCUGUGGCUGUGGCUGUGGCGUAGGCCGGCGGCUACAGCUCUGAUUCGUCCCCGAGCCUGGGAGCCUCCAUAUGCUGCGGGUGAGGCCUGAAAAGAGGAAGAAAACAUGCUGAAGAAACGAGUUGGCGGCAAAACCAGUGUCCCUAAGAGGAAGUCGUCGGGGGCCUGCUGUGAGUCCUGUCCAUUUGUAACGAGCAGCAUCGUGUCCUGCUUUGGAGCUUCCGCCAGCUGCCGGCCAGGACACGGGGUGCCCGGUGCAGGUGGACCUGCUCGCCCCCAGCCCCUCCGCUUCCCUCUGGGGCUGCCCUUCCAUCGGCUGCUCCCCUCCAGGGCUCCGUGACAACGUGCCUUUGAUAGCGUUUCAGUGUCACACGCAGCCAUCCCGCCUCUCUCUUUAAAGUUAUAAACCUUUAAUCAGGUAAAUGUGUGCUCUGAAAACUUGCGAUCUUUAAUUUCACCCACCAAACUAAGUAAAAAACGGCUGGCAUGUAUUUGUUGUUAUUAUACAAUACAGCAAUCCUAACUUGACUUUAAAAUUAAAAAAACAAAACUGAAAUUCUGAGAUCAGCUCAACAAACACCCCUCCCGUGGGGCUGGUCAUUCUAAGUCAGGGCAGGGUUCUGACGCUGGGGGCAGCGUGUCCACUGGCAGAGCCCACAAAGCAGCCUGCCUGGGGGGACACGGAGCUGUCAGAGCAAGGCUCCGGUUUCAGGGCCGGAUCCAGGGACCCCGGGGGACCAGUCCACGCAGCAGCGCCAGCCUUCCUGCAGCACCGACCCAUCACCAGCGCUCCCGGCGCCUGGACGCUGGGUGGCCCGUCGCUCCCAGCCUGGCCUUUCCGACAGCCAGCCUCCUCCCUGCUCCCUGCUGUCCUCCCGGCCCUGCUGGCAAAGGACUGAGGAUCUGGCAGGGCUGCUCUGACGCCGGACACCAGCCCCCUCUGUUCUCGUGUUCGUGGCCUUGCCCUGUCUGGAGGACUGGCAUACACGUGCCACUUGGGUGUCCACUCACCAAACCAGAGAGCCCACGAGGACUCCAGCAAAGCCGGCCCCCGGCGGGUGCGCUGCUCAAAGCCGGGCAGCCGUGCUCCCCAGGGGCCAGCCCCCGGCCGCCCUCUGACUCAGCUUGGGUCGCGCCCUCCUCAGCAUGGGCCCUCGGCCUGUCACCUGACUCGAGAGCUUCUGCUGUCUCCUGGGCAGCCCCGCUCGGUCUGUUGCAAAAUGCGGCUGCUCUGGCUCCCCGAGCACCAGUUCUUUCCGUGCCUUUUUUUAAAACUUGCGGUGAGAUACACAAAUGAUAAAAUUUACCGUCUUCACUAAUUUUAAGCACAUGGUUCAUUUCAUCUUCCCAAACGGAAACUCAGUCCCAUCACCCCACUGGGCCCUGCCUGGCACCACGUUCUCACUUUGUUUCCAUGGGUCCGACUCCUCUGGGGACCUCUGUGAGUGGCCACAGUCUUUGCCCUUCUGGGACCAGCUUAUUCACUCGGCACAGUUCCUCCAGGUUCACCUGCCUGCAGCCUGUGUCAGAACGUCCCUUUUCAGGGCUGAGUACUAUUCUAGCAUGUGUAUAGACCCCGCUUUUGGAGUUCCUGUUGUGGCUCAGGGGUUAACGAAUCUGACUAGGAGCUGUGAGGUUGCGGGUUCUAUCCCUGGCCUUGCUCAGUGGGUAAAGGAUCCGGUGUUGCCAUGAGCUGCGGUGUAGGUCGCAGACAUGGCUCGGAUCUGGCGUGGCUGUGGCUGUGGUGUAGGCUGGUGGCGGCAGCUCCGAUUCAACCUCUAGCCUGGGAACCCCCAUAUGCCACGGGAGCGGCCCUAGAAAAAGGCAAAAAGACAAAAACGAAAACAAAACCCCCCCCAAAAAAACUACUUUUUAUCCAUUGUCUGUUGGUCUCUAGCUUUUUCCUGGGGGCCCCGAUUCCCUUUGCCCCUGGUUUAUCUCCUCUUUGGCUCCUCCCACCAGCAGGGGUGCUCCUGUGCUGUGGCCUUCGUCACUCCAGGGCUGGCCUGCUGCCUGAUGGUGGCGGGACCUUGGCGAGUAGCUGUUGAGUGAGUGAAUGAAGGAGCCCUUUCAGGCUCCCGCCGUCGAGCCCCCGGCCCAAAGGCAGCUCCCCCUGGUCAGGAGCUUGGAGGCCCACGGCCACUUCCUCUCCUGGCAUCGACGGUUUGGUCUGUGAAUAAGCUCUCGCUCUUAGAGCCUGGAUGUCUGCGGACGUGUGGAGGCACGUGACCGACGCUCCGAAGGAACGAAGCUGCUGGUGGUGGUUGAAGCCAAGAAGACAGAAUCGGGAUGAGCUCUCCGGGCAGGAGCCUUCUCAGCCGGUCCCGGGCUCACACCACAGGGGACAGCUGGGGACUCCGGCUGGCUUGGCUCUGGGAAGAGUGAGUUCUGGACCCCACUGCUGCUGAGCUGUGAUGGAGAAUGCUGGCGGUGGUGCAGGGGACCUGUCCCCGCUCAGGGCUCGUUCAGCAGAACGGGCACUGCCGGGAGAGCCCGACUGAUGGCCACAAAGCCAGAGGGCCAGGCUCAGGCUGGCCACCCACCCACAGCCGGGCGCAGGGAUGGGGGAGGCCACGCUGCUGCCCCCAGAUGUGGCACUGUCGCCCUCUGCAUGCCAGCUGGACCCUGUGGCGAGGCUCCAUGUCCUCCUCCUUCCUGGGCCCAGGCCCCCCAGAUGGUCAGGGACGAGUCCUCCGAACACAUCGGGGGCCUGCACCCUCCCCGCGGGGGGUGAUGGGGGAGUGAUGGCGCUUUGGGGUCCAGAGGUUGGGAGGUGGGCUUUUCUUCCCACCUGGAUGGGAGUCUUGGGGUGAGGCGUCCACAGUGCAGGAGGGCCCCAGUGUGCCCACGUCCGCGCCCCAGCUUGGCGGAGGGUGGGUCCAGCAGCAAACCAUGGUCGUGGUUUGGAGCCGAGGAGCUCGACCAGGUUGCCCUCGGGGCCACCAGGGUCCUGAGCCAUCUGUCCUCGGGGCUUCCAGUUAAAAGGGCACCUUGGGGAGGGCGAGGGUGUGGCAGAGAUUAACGCCAGCAGCAGCGGUUUCUCCUCUUCCUCAGCAGCCCCUCCCAUUGUAAGCUGAGCCUGUGGCCACUGAGUAAAGCUCCCACUGCCCACCUCCUUGUAGGAGGCUUUCGGGGCCAGCGGGCAGGGCAGCCUCCUGAUGCCGCCUGACGCCAGCUGCGCCCAGAGCGAGAGUGCGGAGCGGAGCGGGUGAGCCUCACCCUGGAGGGCUCCCAGCACGGGGCUGCCUCCCGGGUCCACCUGGAGGAAGGGCAGCCAUGAACCAAUCCAGCACUUUUCCCGUUUGCACAAAGGCACUGUGGCCUUGCCAAGCUCGGUGUUCUCGGGCUGCUUCUAGCAGAGGGACUGCCUUUUUCAAAUUCACCCAAGGGUUCACUGUGUGCUGGCAGCCGGAUCAGCCAAGGAGACCCAAGGGCAAGUGUGGUGCAUGACUUCAGGAGGAACAACAAAGGGAGGAGGGCACUCUUCAUUAUCCCUCCUCCUCCCUGCUCACUGGAAUGCACACACAAUGGCUGGUGCUCCAGCAGCCCCCUGGGAUCAUGAGGUAGAGCUGUGUGUUAAUGAUGGAGAAGCAACAGGAUAGAAAGGGCUGCUGCUGAUGGAACUGCUGGCCUCUGCCCGUGAUUCAGGGAGAGGGAAACAAACUCCUCGACCUGAAUGGAGCCGUUGUCAUCCGGGGUCCUCCAUCGCUUGCGGAACUGAAUCAUGACUGACACAGAGAGCCCUGAUGCUCAAUGGGACACUGAAGCUCCGAGAGGUCCUGCAAAAAGAAACGGAGCGGUUUCACCCAGUGCUGGCCAAACCGUCAGUCAGUGGACUCUUGAACCACCCAGCUUUUCACCUCUCAGGAGUCCCUUUGUUCAGAGGAACUGCGUUUGGGGGUGACAGCUCCACACACAUGGAAAUUGUCACUCUUAGUCAUCACCGUAUGUCACAGCGCACUUCCUGGAGAAGCUCCUCCGUGGGGACUGGGUUGGGAACCUGGGUUCCCAGGAUCCCAUUUCUCCGUAAUGAGUGGGAGAGGGAGGGUCCACUGUCGCAGGAAAGGACACGGUGAGGGUUCAGGCCCUCAACAGUGUUUUAAAAACCCGUUCCCACUCAACUACCUUCGGGAACAGUUCCCUGCAGAGGCCGACUUGGCCCCGCUGCUUGCGUCUCAGGGGCUGCAGGUCCAGGGCAGCGAGUGCACGUGAGCACGGGGUGUGUCCCCGAGCUGUGCCCCAAGGAGGGGCCGGGAGAGGGAUGGCAGUGUCGCUGUGACCGGGGCUCACCACGGGUGGGCCCCGGUCUAGUCUGAUUUGCUCCCAAAUACCUGCUCCAGCUGCCGGGGCUCCGGGCGUCCUGGGCCGGGGCCGCCCCCCUCCAGGGUCCGCAGCCACGGCCACACCCUCCUGCUCUGGCUGUGCGGCGCUCCUGGACGGACACCUUGUGCUACCUACGGGAGGGCCUUGACCUCGGCACACCUGCAAAGACGCUUCCAAAUAAGGGAACAGUCGCGGGCUCACCCCCAGAGGUGGGACCAUCACCCGCCGCUCGGCGCGGUCCUGCGCCCGGGGACCGGGUUCGGAAGGCCUCCGGCUGCCAGGCUGUCUCUAGGGAGAAGUGGCUCUUUCACAGGGGGUUCGAGCCGGCUUUGCACCAGGCUCCAGGGCAGGCGGCGGUGUGGCCUGCUCGCGGCUGCCAGGGGCCCUGGCCUGCAGGUCACUCGGAGGAGCCCCUUAGGACAAAGGAACAAGGAACCCGCUAUUCCCAAAGGCACAUCCAGCUGUCCCCGGGGUCCUUACAGAGGAGUGAGGCCCUGUCCACGACAGGAGACCUUGCUGGACUGCUGCCCCGCAAAGCAGCGCCCUGAGGAGAUGGAGGGAGGGAGGUGGCCGGGACACGGUGGGGCUGGUGAGCCCCAUGCACCACAGCCCAGCCACCCCCCCCCAGCUUCUGAUGGCAUGACCCCCACACACAUUGGCAGUUCCCCGCCCCCGGGGUCACAGGCCUGCCCCCCGGGGUCUGACCCUUCCAAGUGAGCAGAACUGGCCUGUGGGCCCUCAGGGCUGUGCCUUUGGCCUGUCCACAGCCCCGCGUCCCUGGCUGCCCAGCCCUGCUGUCCUGGGAUCUCCCUUCCCUGUCACUCUGGGGGCGUGCCUGGUCUCCCCUGCUUUUUGAUGGAGUGCAUCUUACUGCUCCCCUGGGCCCGGGCGCCACCUGCCUCGGUGGAGGGGUUAGAGGGGAGCGCCUGCACCUGGGUGCUGGCCCUCAUCCCCCUUUCAGGUGUUCUCAGCCUCCCUGGCUGGUCUCGCAGCCUCAGGCACCGCCUUUCUCGCUCCCCGGACUCUCUGGGCGCUGGGUCUCCCCCCCCGCAUCUGGAGGCUUUUUGUCCCAGUGACGGUCCCUGUGUGGGUCCUGGGCUAACUUUCGAUCUAGGAAAUCGUGUCUUUCAGUCUGGGAGUUUCCUGAAGUGUUUCACUGGUGAUUUCCUUCCCUCCGUUUCCUCUCUUCUCUCUGACUUCUUCCUUGUCGGAUGUGGGAUCCAAGCAGCGCAAAGAAUUCCAAGAACAAGAAACAUGAUGAAAGAUACAUCCAAAUCCACCCCGAUUUCCAAAAGAAUACUGAGAAUAAACAAAGCUGGAGGACUCACACAUCCUGAUAUUAAAACUCACUACAAAACUACAGUAAUCAGAACAGUGCAGGAGUUCCCUGGCGGCCUCAUGGUUAAGGACCCAACAUUGUCACUUUUGCAGCUCGGAUUCAACCCCUGACCUGGGAACCUCCCCCAGACGAGGGUUUGGCCAAAAACAAAAACAAAAUUGUGUGGUCCUAUCACAGGUCAGACAGGCCAGUGGAACAGAACCGAGGUCCAGAAGUGAGCCCACACAUCUGUGGCCACUGAUCUUCCACAAGAGUGCGGGGACCAUUCAGCGGGGAAAGCAUGUCUCUUCAGCAAAUGGACAGCCACACACAAAAGAAUGAAGCUGGACCCCUGCCUCGCACCAUGUGCAAAAAUUAACUCAAAAUGGAUGAAUGAACGAAAAUGCAAAAGCUAAAAUGAUAAAACUCUUAGGAGAAAGUACGACCUUGGAAUUGGCGAUGCUUCUCGGAUAUAACACCAAAAGCAAAACGAAGGAAAAAAAAAGGUAAAUUGGACUUUAUCAAAAACCAAACACUGGGUGCACCAAAGAUCAUUAUUAAGACAAGGAAAAGAGGGGGUCCCUCUGUGGCUUAGUGGGUUAUGAACUUACUAGCAUCCAUGAGGAUGUGGGUUCGAUCCCUGGCCUCACUCAGGGGGUUAGGGAUCCGGCGUUGCCCUGAGCUGUGGUGCAGGUCGCAGACGCGGCUCGGAUCUGACGUUGCUGUAGCUGUGGCUGUGGCAGGCAGCUGCAGCUCUGAUCCAACCCCUAGCCAGGAACUUCCAUAUGCUGCAAGUAUGGCCCUAAAAAGGGGGGGAAAGAAAA
ensembl:lncRNA